rnacentral:rRNA from 1 species
CGGGGUGCAGCAGGCGCGAAAACUCUACAAUGCAGGCAACUGCGAUAGGGGGACAUCGAGUGGCAUCCACCUUGGGUGCCUGUCCAACCGUCUAAAAAACGGUUGUUAGCAAGGGCCGGGUAAGACCGGUGCCAGCCGCCGCGGUAAUACCGGCGGCUCGAGUGGUGGCCGAUAUUAUUGAGUCUAAAGGGUCCGUAGCCGGCUUUGCAAGUCCCCUGGGAAAUCCAGCGGCUUAACCGUUGGGCUUUCAUGGGAUACUACAUUGCUUGGGACUGGGAGAGGUAGGAGGUACUCGGGGGGUAGGGGUGAAAUCCUGUAAUCCUCCGGGGACCACCGGUGGCGAAGGCGUCCUACCAGAACAGGUCCGACGGUGAGGGACGAAAGCUAGGGGCACGAACCGGAUUAGAUACCCGGGUAGUCCUAGCCGUAAACGAUGCCCGCUAGGUGUCACGACGGUCGUGAAUCGUCGUGGUGCCGUAGGGAAGCCGCGAAGCGGGCCACUUGGGAAGUACGGCCGCAAGGCUGAAACUUAAAGGAAUUGGCGGGGGAGCACAAGGGCGAUUGCGG